CUUAUUCUUCCUCCUUCGGGUUGGGUUGGGGUUGUUUUUUUUUUUUUUUUUUUCCUUUCUUCUUCUUCCUCCUCUUUCUUUCUGGGUUGCACGAGGUUGGGUUUGUGGUGGGGGGACGAACUGAAAUAAACGGCCAAACUAACGAAAGGUAUAACAUUGAUACAAAUUCUAAAGAUGAGGUAUGACAUUGUCAAUUUUAAAAGAUAAGGUAUGAAAGUGUCGUGACACCAAUAGUUGAGGUAGUUUUUUGUACUUUACCCAAUAUUUUUUAUUGCUAAAUUUAAAGUAAAGCAUUUUUAUGAAAAAAGGCCUUUACAAUAUUAAAAUCGAUCAAUAUAAAAAAAAAUAAAAAAGGAAAAUAUUCUACUGUUUUACACUCAUAGGGUGCGUUUGUUGUACCGAAGUAUCUUGGAUUGAACUAACUUCAAGGAUUAAGCUGGACUGGCUUAGACUAGACUAAUCUAGACUAACUUAGUGAAGUGUUGGGUGAAGUGUUGGACUAAGAAGCAGGAUAACGAAAAUCCGUAAAAAAUGAACUUGAAUAAUCACAGAAAAAGGAAUUUUAUACAACAACAUGGUAUAUUAACUAGCCCACAAUUAAGUCCUAAAUUGCAAAAUACCCAUUAUUUUUAUAAUAGACACUAUAUAGUUUGAUUGGGGAAAAUGACUAUACAUAUGUAUGUAUCGGUCAUAUCGAAACCUAAAUAUAUUCUUCACAUUGUAAACAAACACACAGCAAAUUAUACAUACACUAAAACCCAGUUUUUCCGGUCUUCUCCAGUGACGAACCCUUUGUUGGUUAGCAUUUUGCUCUGAUCUUGCCAUCGUCGGCAUCAAAAUUUUAAGUCCUGGAGUUGGGACCAGCUUUUUUACAAAUUGUUAGCCGACUCUAAGCGCGCCCUUUCUUCAAAUUAUCGUCUGACAAAUUGUAUUAAGCUUAGUGGUUUGUUGAGAAUUUGCCAGCUAAAACGUUUGGCUUCCUCCACUAAGAAGUCUGAGAAUUCGUAGAAGCUGGAGCAUUAGUGUUGGUUUGGACUAACAAAUUGUCACAUACAACAUUGUAUCAAAUCAUCGUUGAUUAUAAGGUAUGCCAUUAUAACACUAUCUUUUGUUAGCUUUGAUAAAAUUAUUUGUCAGCCGUUUUAGUUUUUAGCAAUUAUGAUAUUAUUUCUUACUUCAGCUCAAUAUUAGUUGGCUUAAACCUUUCUUACAUCUUAAGUAUCAAUGUACAAAACUUAACAAUCAUUUACAAAAAAUUCAUAAAUUUUAGUGUCAAUUUGAAGUUAACAUAAUGACCUUUGAAAAUAUUAAAACUCACAUUCACAUAAAUGUUUUGCAUAUUUGUAAAAUGUCUUGAGAUCGGCUUCCAACUUAAAAUUAAACUUAUACUUAAUAAAUUUUAUGUAUCAGUACUAAAAUUUUCAACACCAAACCAAAGUGCAUUUUCUUUUAAAUUUUUGCACACACAUUUUACCUUUGAAACCAAGCUAUGCCACUGGUUGCUAUUGCUACAUUGGCACAUAAAAACUGAACCUUUUUUUGUAUACAUGAAUAUUCAUUCAUUACUACAAAUAUAAUAGGCAUAGUGGUCUCAAAAAUUCAAAAUCCACCAACACAUGACAUUCAAACCAAUUUCUAUUGUAUUCCAUCACCAGCAUAUACAUCAAAUCUAGAUCAAACCUAGGUGAAAUUCAGCUCACAAGAUUAUACUGUCAUUGUUUCAAUAAUUUACAUUGUUUUAGUCAUCCAGGUCUACAACAUCAGUCAAGGAUCCAAAAUCAUUUCUGCUGACUUAGAUAUUGAAGACACCAAAGUUGAGGUAAGCCAUCAUAUCACACUCUCAAAUUUUUUUAAAGCUUCAAUCAUUGCAAAUUUUAUUCACACUGGAAACUAUUAAUGUUCAAUGGUUUUUCAAAUCAUCCACCCAACCAAAGUGAGUUUGUGUAUUAUGGAUUUGACAAAUAAAAUUGUAAUCUCAUAUAUAUAAUUGACUAAUAAUAUGAUUUCAUUCCAUUUUUAGCCACUAUUGAAACUUUGAACUUUCCCGUUGUUGAACCACAUGUAGGGGCAUAAAAAAAUGAAUAAUUUGUUGGGUGCAAGUAAAAUAUAAGAUGGUAUAAUAGGUGUGAACAAUUAUAUAAUCAUCUUCAUGUAAGCUGAAUUGAAUUUAUGUGAAAACCAAGUUGCUGAAUUUAACAUCCCAGUACAUCCAUAUGUUGCUUAUUUAAAUUAUUUGAAGAUUACUGUGUUGAUUCAUGAUUUUGUGCAUUUACUUAGGUCAAAUAUUUGUUAUCUCCAUCAUUGCAUUUGAGAAUGGCAUUUCGAUCCUACCACCUUUCUGCUUACUCUGUGUGGAAAUUAGUCAUGCCUAUUCUAAAUAUUACAUUCAGUGUCCGCAUAAACGUUCGGGCACAUUUUCUAAUAAUAUCUAUAUACAAAGAGAAUGGAAAAGUUAAUAGUGAUUUUUAUGUCACCAAGCUUCAACAAAAGAUUUGGACAAAAAUGCCCCCUAAGACAAAAAACUUCAAAGGCAUUCCAAAAUAAUGCAUCAA